rnacentral:rRNA from 1 species
AGAGUUUGAUCCUGGCUCAGGAUGAACGCUGGCGGCGUGCCUAAUACAUGCAAGUCGAACGCGGGCACUUGUGCCCGAGUGGCGAACGGGUGAGUAAUACAUAAGUAACCUGGCCUUUACAGGGGGAUAACUGCUGGAAACGGCAGCUAAGACCGCAUAGGUAGGGACACUGCAUGGUGACCGUAUUAAAAGUGCUGCAAGGCACUGGUAGAGGAUGGACUUAUGGCGCAUUAGCUGGUUGGUGAGGUAACGGCUCACCAAGGCGACGAUGCGUAGCCGACCUGAGAGGGUGACCGGCCACACUGGGACUGAGACACGGCCCAGACUCCUACGGGAGGCAGCAGUAGGGAAUUUUCGGCAAUGGGGGGAACCCUGACCGAGCAACGCCGCGUGAAGGAAGAAGGAAUUCGUUCUGUAAACUUCUGUUAUAAAGGAAGAAAGACGGAUGGAGGAAAUGACAUCCGAGUGACGGUACUUUAUGAGAAAGCCACGGCUAACUACGUGCCAGCAGCCGCGGUAAUACGUAGGUGGCAAGCGUUAUCCGGAAUUAUUGGGCGUAAAGAGGGAGCAGGCGGCAGCAAAGGUCUGUGGUGAAAGACUGAAGCUUAACUUCAGUAAGCCAUAGAAACCGGGCAGCUAGAGUGCAGGAGAGGAUCGUGGAAUUCCAUGUGUAGCGGUGAAAUGCGUAGAUAUAUGGAGGAACACCAGUGGCGAAGGCGACGAUCUGGCCUGCAACUGACGCUCAGUCCCGAAAGCGUGGGGAGCAAAUAGGAUUAGAUACCCUAGUAGUCCACGCCGUAAACGAUGAGUACUAAGUGUUGGAAGUCAAAUUUCAGUGCUGCAGUUAACGCAGUAAGUACUCCGCCUGAGUAGUACGUUCGCAAGAAUGAAACUCAAAGGAAUUGACGGGGGCCCGCACAAGCGGUGGAGCAUGUGGUUUAAUUCGAAGCAACGCGAAGAACCUUACCAGGUCUUGACAUACUCAUAAAGGAUCCAGAGAUGGAUAGAUAGUUAUAUGAGAUACAGGUGGUGCAUGGUUGUCGUCAGCUCGUGUCGUGAGAUGUUGGGUUAAGUCCCGCAACGAGCGCAACCCUUGUCGUUAGUUACCAUCAUUAAGUUGGGGACUCUAGCGAGACUGCCAGUGACAAGCUGGAGGAAGGCGGGGAUGACGUCAAAUCAUCAUGCCCCUUAUGACCUGGGCUACACACGUGCUACAAUGGAUGGUGCAGAGGGAAGCGAAGCCGCGAGGCGAAGCAAAACCCAUAAAACCAUUCUCAGUUCGGAUUGUAGUCUGCAACUCGACUACAUGAAGUUGGAAUCGCUAGUAAUCGCGAAUCAGCAUGUCGCGGUGAAUACGUUCUCGGGCCUUGUACACACCGCCCGUCACACCAUGAGAGUUGAUAACACCCGAAGCCGGUGGCCUAACCGAAAGGAAGGAGCUGUCUAAGGUGGGAUUGAUGAUUGGGGUGAAGUCGUAACAAGGUAACCAA